rnacentral:rRNA from 1 species
UUCCCCCCAGUCCCAAAAUAUUAGUCAAUGCUCGAAAGAGUGAACUAGCUAACUGAAAUCAAUUAAAAAAAUUGAUAACAUAAGGGAAAAUAAUGAUAUUACCUUAUUAUUAGUGUCGUCCAAAACUGGUGCCAGAAGACUCGGUAAGGCCAGAGACAUAAACGUUAAUCGUCUUAAUCAGGCGUAAAGGGUUUGUAGGCGGCUUUUAAUUUUACUUAUUUAUCCUUUUUUUUUUUUGUUAUUUUUUAAUUAAAAAUUUAUAAGUAAAGAAUAAAAGCUAGAAUCAAAUAUAGGUUAUAUUAAAUAAUGCUUAGAUUAGGUCUGAUAUCCAUAGAUGCUAAGUAGAAUAUUAAAGGCGAAGGCUUUUUUCCAUUAAUGAUUGACGCUCAGAAACGAAGGUGAGGAUAGGAAAUAGGAUUAGAUACCCAAAAUACCCCUCUCUGUCAACGAUGAAUGGUAGUUAUUAGUAAUAAAUUCAUUAAUGACAAUGUUAACACGAUAACCAUUCCGCCUUGUGAGUACAACUGCAAAGUUGAAAACAAAAAAAUUAGUCGGUUUCGAAGCAAACAAAGUGAAGCAUGUUAUUUAAUUCAAAAAAACCCCCCCA